rnacentral:rRNA from 1 species
CUACGGGUUGCUCCAGUGGGGAAUAUUGGACAAUGGGCGAAAGCCUGAUCCAGCCAUGCCGCGUGGGUGAUUGAAGGCCUUAGGGUCGUAAAGCCCUGUCGGGAGGGACGAAGACUUCGGUUUGACGGUACCUCGCAAGAAAGCACCGGCUAACUCCGUGCCAGCAGCCGCGGUAAUACGGAGGGUGCAAGCGUUGCUCGGAAUCACUGGGCGUAAAGCGUCCGCAGGCGGCCUGCCAGGUCGGGUGUGAAAGCCCGGGGCUCAACCCCGGAACUGCACUCGAAACCGGCAAGCUUGAGUAUGGGAGAGGAGGGCGGAAUUCCUGGUGUAGAGGUGAAAUUCGUAGAUAUCAGGAGGAACGCUCGCGGCGAAGGCGGCUCUCUGGCCCAAUACUGACGCUCAUGGACGAAAGCGUGGGGAGCAAACAGGAUUAGAUACCCGUGUAGUC